rnacentral:rRNA from 1 species
GAUGAACGCUGGCGGCGUGCCUAAUACAUGCAAGUCGAGCGAAUGGAUUAAGAGCUUGCUCUUAUGAAGUUAGCGGCGGACGGGUGAGUAACACGUGGGUAACCUGCCCAUAAGACUGGGAUAACUCCGGGAAACCGGGGCUAAUACCGGAUAACAUUUUGAACCGCAUGGUUCGAAAUUGAAAGGCGGCUUCGGCUGUCACUUAUGGAUGGACCCGCGUCGCAUUAGCUAGUUGGUGAGGUAACGGCACACCAAGGCAACGAUGCGUAGCCGGCCUGAUAGGGUGAUCGGCCACACUGGGACUGAGACGCGGCCGAGACUCCUACGGGAGGCAGCAGUAUGGAAUCUUCCGCAAUGUACGAAAGUCGGACGGAUCAACGCCGCGUGAGUGAUGAAGGCUUUCGGGUCGUAAAACUCUGUUGUUAGGGAAGAACAAGUGCUAUUUGAAUAAGCUGGCACCUUGACGGUACCUAACCAGAAAGCCACGGCUAACUACGUGCCAGCCGCCGCAGUAA